rnacentral:rRNA from 1 species
UAGAGUUUGAUCAUGGCUCAGGAUGAACGCUAGCGACAGGCUUAACACAUGCAAGUCGAGGGGCAGCGGGGAGGUAGCAAUACUUCCGCCGGCGACCGGCGCACGGGUGAGUAACACGUAUGGAACCUGCCCGUAGCAGGGGGAUAAACGGAAGAAAUUCCGUCUAAUACCGCGUAAUAACUCCGAGAGGCAUCUCAUGGAGUUUAAAGGGUAACACCGGCUACGGAUGGCCAUGCGGCGCAUUAGCUAGUUGGCGGGGUAACGGCCCACCAAGGCGACGAUGCGUAGGGGUUCUGAGAGGAAGGUCCCCCACACUGGUACUGAGACACGGACCAGACUCCUACGGGAGGCAGCAGUGAGGAAUAUUGGUCAAUGGGCGCGAGCCUGAACCAGCCAAGUCGCGUGAGGGAAGACGGUCCUAUGGAUUGUAAACCUCUUUUGUCGGGGAGCAAAAGACGCCACGUGUGGCGUUCCGAGAGUACCCGAAGAAAAAGCAUCGGCUAACUCCGUGCCAGCAGCCGCGGUAAUACGGAGGAUGCGAGCGUUAUCCGGAUUUAUUGGGUUUAAAGGGUGCGCAGGCGGAAGAUCAAGUCAGCGGUAAAAUUGAGAGGCUCAACCUCUUCGAGCCGUUGAAACUGGGUGCCUUGAGUGGGCGAGAAGUACGCGGAAUGCGUGGUGUAGCGGUGAAAUGCAUAGAUAUCACGCAGAACUCCGAUUGCGAAGGCAGCGUACCGGCGCCCAACUGACGCUGAAGCACGAAGGCGUGGGUAUCGAACAGGAUUAGAUACCUUGGUAGUCCACGCAGUAAACGAUGAAUGCUAGUUGUCCGGGGCGAUUGAGUUCUGGGUGACACAGCGAAAGCGUUAAGCAUUCCACCUGGGGAGUACGCCGGCAACGGUGAAACUCAAAGGAAUUGACGGGGGCCCGCACAAGCGGAGGAACAUGUGGUUUAAUUCGAUGAUACGCGAGGAACCUUACCCGGGCUCAAACGCCGAAGGAACAUUCCCCGAAAGGGGAAUGGCCAGCAAUGGUCUUCGGCGAGGUGCUGCAUGGUUGUCGUCAGCUCGUGCCGUGAGGUGUCGGCUUAAGUGCCAUAACGAGCGCAACCCCCACCGACAGUUGCUAACUGGUCAAGCAGAGGACUCUGUCGGGACUGCCGGCGCAAGCUGCGAGGAAGGCGGGGAUGACGUCAAAUCAGCACGGCCCUUACGUCCGGGGCGACACACGUGUUACAAUGGCAGGUACAGCGGGAUGCCAUGGGGCGACCCAGAGCGGAACCCGAAAACCUGUCUCAGUUCGGAUUGGAGUCUGCAACCCGACUCCAUGAAGCUGGAUUCGCUAGUAAUCGCGCAUCAGCCACGGCGCGGUGAAUACGUUCCCGGGCCUUGUACACACCGCCCGUCAAGCCAUGGAAGCCGGGGGUGCCUGAAGUGCGUGACCGCAAGGAGCGCCCUAGGGUAAAACCGGUGACUGGGGCUAAGUCGUAACAAGGUAACCGUAA